CACGUAGGGUGCGAGCGUUGUCCGGAUUUACUGGGCGUAAAGGGCGCGUAGGCGGCAAAUUAAGUCAGCUGUGAAAUCUCCGAGCUUAACUCGGAACUGUCAGCUGAUACUGAUGUGCUAGAGUGCGGAAGGGGCAAUCGGAAUUCUUGGUGUAGCGGUGAAAUGCGUAGAUAUCAAGAGGAACACCUGAGGUGAAGACGGGUUGCUGGGCCGACACUGACGCUGAGUGCGCGAAAGCCAGGGGAGCAAACGGG
rnacentral:rRNA from 1 species